UGCCAGCCGCCGCGGUAAUACGGAGGGUGCAAACGUUGCUCGGAAUUACUGGGCGUAAAGCGCAUGUAGGCGGCCAAUGAAGUUUGGUGUGAAAUCCCUGGGCUCAACCCAGGAACUGCGCUGAAAACCAAUUGGCUAGAGUCUCGGAGGGGAGCGUAGAAUUCCGUGUGUAGAGGUGAAAUUCGUAGAUACACGGAGGAAUAUCGGUGGCGAAGGCGACGCUCUGGACGAGAACUGACGCUGAGAUGCGAAAGCGUGGGUAGCAAACAGGAUUAGAUA
rnacentral:rRNA from 1 species